ensembl:lncRNA
GCCGGAGGAGCUCCAGCAAAGUCGGCGGCGCUCAGAGAAUCAGGGGAGGCAUAUCUGUGGCCCUUAAUGCUCCCCUUGCUCAGUUCAGCCACCACCGCCAGUGAGUUGCCAUCCUUGCCUGCUCUUCUCUGCCUACCCUAGAGCCUAGCUGACCUGAACACACUGGCAAGGGCAAAAACAACCUGGAGGAAGUUGAAGUUCCCAUCACAGCCAGAACCUGCUCUAUCCUGCAGUUUGCAGCCCCUAAGAGGUUCCAGGCAAGUUUGUGAACACACACAAUAGAUGCGUCACCCACGGCCUUGCUUCCUUUCAUCCUUGCUGGGCAAGGAGGCUGUCGUUGGCAUGGUAACCUUGCCUGUAAAAGUUGCAGCCCUCAAGGAUGUUUUUCAGUUCCAGCGGGGACAUGGCUUCUUCCCCCCACCUCCCCCAUGUAGAUCACAGGGUGACAUGUAGCUGUGUCAUCUGGCCUCCCCCAGAAUGGGGAUGUUGUACAUGGAGCCACUGGUCCAUGGCUUCCUUAAGCCCAUGGAGUGAAGGGCUUAAGGGAGAUGUUGAUUGGAUCUCUGAGGAACAGUUUCCUUCUGUUCCUUCUGUCCUUCUGUAUGUGUUGAUCCUCAGCCACCAGAGAAACCAGUUCUGAGGUUCAGAAUAUGUAGGGAGCCACUCUGGAUCUCGUGGUGAAGGACAAGCACACAUCUUCACUAAAAUCUGGCACCCUGUAGAAUAAACUGUUAAACCA